ACGCGCGGAACCUUACCAGGUCUUGACAUCCUCUGACACUCCUAGAGAUAGGACGUUCCCCUUCGGGGACAGUGGUGACAGGUGGUGCAUGGUUGUCGUCAGCUCGUGUCGUGAGAUGUUGGGUUAAGUCCCGCAACGAGCGCAACCCUUGUUCUUAGUUGCCAUCAUUUAGUUGGGCACUCUAAGGAGACUGCCGGUGACAAACCGGAGGAAGGUGGGGAUGACGUCAAAUCAUCAUGCCCCUUAUGACCUGGGCUACACACGUGCUACAAUGGACGGUACAAACGGUUGCCAACCCGCGAGGGGGAGCUAAUCCGAUAAAACCGUUCUCAGUUCGGAUUGUAGGCUGCAACUCGCCUACAUGAAGCCGGAAUCGCUAGUAAUCGCGGAUCAGCAUGCCGCGGUGAAUACGUUCCCGGGCCUUGCACACACCGCCCGU
rnacentral:rRNA from 1 species